ACGCCUUCAGGAUGCCAAGCUUGGAUCUGCUUUCCUCUGGAGAGGCUUUCUGGGAACUGAAAAACCCUGGGACGUGGAAUCCUGGAGAUGUGAACGCAAGCUCUGGCUCCACCACUUUUGGGUUCUCUUCUAGCCGUGACCACGAGCCUUACCUGUAAAAUGGGCGUGAUGCUGGUACCUGCUCUGUUGCCUUGCAGCAUAGAGAUUGGCUGAGACGCUGGCUUUGUAAACUUUAAAGGAAGGUAUAGACGGCAGUGUUUGCUUCCUGUUUUUUGCUCCAGGCCUCUGUCCUUCGGGCUGUGGAGGACAGUAGUAGCAGAAUUCUGUGCAGCUGGUGUUAUUGCCUGAUUUUAUAUUUGUGUGGACACUGAGGCCCAGAGCCGUGUGAUGACUUCCCAAGCUGUGUAAGUGGCAAAACUACCUUUCAAAGGUGAAUUGACCCCCAGUACCCAUUACCCCACAAAGAAGGCUGAGUGCCAAAGAAUUGAUGCUUUCUAACUGUGCUGGAAAAGACUCGUGAGAGUCCCUUGGACAGCAAGGAGAUCAAACCAGUCAAUCCUAAAUGAAAUCAAUCCUGAAUAUUCAUUGAAGGACUGAUGCUGAAGCUGAAGCUCUAAUUCUUUGGCCACCUGAUGCGAAGACCCAAGUCAUUGGAAAACACCCUGAUUCUGGGGAAGACUGAGGGCAGGAGAAGAAGGGGGCAACAGAGGAUGAAUGGCUGGAUGGCAUCACUGACUCGAUGGACAUGAGUUUGAGUGAACUCUGGG
ensembl:lncRNA